UGGUGGGGGAGACUUGAAACCGCUCAGGCGCUCCGAUUGGCUCGCUUGGAGAAAAGGGGCGUGGCCUUUCCUUACUAUGCGGUGCCAGGACCCAACAACAUUCCAAUCACCACGGCCACGCCUCCGGACCACUCCCCCCCUCGCAUGUCUGCAGCCUCCCAGUCUCCUCGGCCACACCCCCUUCCCAACUAUUUAAAAAGGCCACUCCGAAGCUCACGUUUUUCUCGCUUGGUGCUUGGGUGUUUUUGUCGCUGUUCUAGGAGAGCGGUCUAGUUCCGCCCUUUGGGUAACCUGGGCAACCUGGGCGAGCCGAGAAGCUUAAAGUGGAUUGGGCGGUGCUCAGGGCAGUUAUUGGCUUGCUGCUUGGCCGUACUUAAGAUGCACUGAUUCACAGGAAAGAGUACAACCAUGGAAUCCUGAAAGGGCUUUGGGGAGAAGAGACGACCUAGGACUCCAGUGUCAAAGCUAGAACUGACCUCGGGACUGUGAUCUCCACAGUUCAAAUGAGACACACACCGGAGAAACAAGGCUUUACUGAGCCACUCAUUUUAUUCUUAUUCUGGCACCCCCCCCCCAAGCCCAUCCUCAGUCAGCUGGCUAGAAGUCUCUCAAACUAACAUUUCAGUUCGGUGGACUUGGGCUGCCCUCUGCUUGCCCUUUAGGGCCCCAUGGUGCCCUACCAGGGGACCCUCUUGGACUUUAAACUCAAAUUCCCUGCUUUAGGUUGUAGGUAAGGGAUUUCCACAAGGUGCUAGCUCCAGAAAGGCAGGUUCCGUCUCAGUAGCAGUGCUUUUUAGUGAUCUGUAUCUGCCUUGGGAGGAAGAGACCUGUUUAGGUCAAGAUUGGCAGGACUGGUGUAGGGUGAAUGCAAGAGAUGCUUUCUGAGCUGCUUACAAGACGGAUAUGCUACAACUCAGUGGAACUCACUCUACCAAGGAAAGGGCUUCCAGAAAAAACGAGGAGGAUUUGUCUGGGCCUUAGAGGAUGGGGCCAGCUAGCGGGCCUUCUGCUGUACUUCCCAUUGCCCAGCAUGCAUCAGGUCUUAGUGGUAUUCAGAGGACAAGUCAGUCAAAACUUGUCAGGUCCUUUCAGGGUGUCACAUAGGUGCCUGUGUGCCUUCACAGUACUUGUGCUUGCCUCUUCUGCUGUUCUGCACACACAAAACCUUUUUAUAUAACACCAUUUUAAUGGAAAUGCUGUUUUUUUAAAAAAACGAAAGUGGCUCUUACAGAAGAUCUGAAUGAUGCUUAUGUAACUUUAAACACUGAGUUUGGGUAGAUCCUAAUUCAUUAACAGAGAAAAAAGAAGUUCUGACAUAUGUACCUCCCACCAUGAAAAGAACAGGAUCUUCAAGAUAAAUAUUCAGUAGUCAGGUUGCUAGGAAGCCCUUCUGGCCCUGCCCCUGCUCUCCUGCAAGGUAGGUCUGUUGCAGCAGGAGCAGAGACCAGCUGAGGAGGCCCUGGUAUCACUGCAGUGGUCCGUAGAACAGUUUCACCUCUCCACUUUCAUUUCCUCAUCAGAGACACUCCAUUCCCUAUUAGCUUUGCAAAAAUCAUAUACAUUGUCUCAUUUGGAUGUCUCACUUUUUUUUUUUUUUUUUUUUUUUUUGGUCUUUUUUCCUUUUUAUCGGUACCGGGGAUCGAACUCGAUGUUCAAACACGACUGGAUGUCUCACUUCUUUGAGGUUAACAGAGCAGAGCAGAGAUUAUGCCCAUUGUGUAGACAAACAUUCUGGAAAUAACUGACUCAUCUGAGGUCUCCCUUCUGAGAAAAAAAUCAGAACUAGGGCUUUUUUUUUUUCUUUUUGAAACAGGGUCUCGCUAUGCAGUUCAGGCUGGCUUUGAGCUUGCUUUAUAGCCCAGGCUGGUUUCCAAUUUGUAGUAAUCCUCCUGCCUUGGCCUCCAAAGUGCUAGGAUUACAGGCAUGCACCACUACAACUGGCGUUAGGGUUUGUCUUUAGAUUUGAAUUCCUAACACUUUACCAUAGUUCUCUUUUUAUCUAUAGGAUGAAGAAGAUUCUAGAAUCAGGUCAUUAUCUUUUCUUCCUGAGAAGUCUGACUUGCACCAUCUCCUCUUGGAAUCCCUCCUGGAUGCUUAUUCUCAUAUGAGGGCUUUAUAGUGCCCUAUAUACACUCACAGGGCACUUACUACAUUGUCUAGGAAUGGUUUGUCUGUUGGCUUCCCAACUAGAAGGCAUAUUGAAAUACUGUCCUCUUCAUUACUGAAUUUUUGGGGGACCUUCUGGCUUAGUGCCUGACAGAGAAAGGGCACAUUUUAUGAAUUUGCUCUGUCCAUCUUGACUUUAGGUCUUAUCCAAGUUUCUUUUGUCCAGGGGUUCAGUGGCCCAUGGCAAGAAACACAUUUUGUGAGAUAUUGGAAACAAAAGUUUCAUGGAGGAGCGUUUAUCUUUGCUAAGUGCACACACUUUGAUAAUUUCUGUUGCAGGUACUGCAUAUUCUAUUUCAUUUUCAAAGAUGCUCUUUAAGUAGAGAUUUUAUGACCCACCUCUGGGUUAUGACCCAGUAUUAGAACAACACUACUUUCACCUCCUGUGUGCUUACCUCCUUUCAUUGGGUAGGAAUCCAGUUGUUUCUGAAAGAUGCAAAGAGAUGACCCUCAAGCACCUCUUGCUCUGUCAAAGAAAUGUUCAUGUCUAACAGAAAGAAAUCCUUCCCAGGCCACAGGCACAUGGGUGUAAACAGAUCCCAGCAGGAGGGGUGAAUGAGGGAGAUGUGUAUAAGGGGAAUCUUUCCAGAGGUUGAUAAGGACCUCUGUGCCCCAGAGACUACAGAAGUUAGUGGUAAUUUUAUCGAACCGUAAAACCCCAAAAUGCAAGGUUUGGAUUCUUGGUGUCUGGGCUUCUCGAUGCUCUGUCUCCAGACUGCUGGGAAUAGGUCUCCAAUCUUAAAAGCUCUCUGGGAUCUCAGUGGGCCUCUUUCCUACAAUUAAGGUGGUGAGGGAGGUAGAUGCAAGUGGCCAUUCUAACUUCUGCCCACAACAGCCUCAUGCAUAGGCUUCUGCCUACAGGUCCAAAGCCCAUUGCUUCCUGUGUAACUUUAGGUGGCCCAUAUAAUUUGGUUCAAAGAUGAUGGCCUAAAAGCCUUCCCAAAGACCCACUGGCUAUCCUGGUCACCCACCUGCUCCAUCCUUUGCCCUUAGUCUCUCUGAAAGGUUAGUGAGAAGCAACUUGGAAACAGCAGCACUGUCUGCCCCCGCUAGCUGGACCAGGGACAGUAGAGGUGGGGCUAACUUGGAGUGACCAUCCUGUUGAUCUCCCAUGGCUAUUGAAGUCAGACUGGGUGUUCCUGAGCUGAAGCUGGGGAAAGGGAAAUGGAGCUGGAGGAACUUCCUCUAGGAGACAUGCACGCCUUCCCUGGACCCUGCCCUUUCCCCCACAGACAGUAAGGAGUAAACAGAGUAGUCCUUCCUGAAUCACUCAAAUGUUAUUUUGUUUAAUUUUUAUUUUUACAAAUGGAACACAUUUAUUUUCUUGGUUUCCUGAUUGUCCCUGCGGUCUGGUUCCAUUCUGUUUUAUAACUGGGAAGGUGUGGUCUUGCUACCAGGUCUUCCAGAGCUGUGUGUCAUCCUGUCACAAGGCUUGUGCAGUGCAGUCCUGGCAUCCCUUUGGCUAAGGCUUUUGCUAUAUUGCUCACCUGGCCUUGAACUUGUGAUCCUCCUGCUUCAGCAUCCGAGAGUGCUGGGAUAACAGGCGUGUACCACCAUUCCUGGCUUUUUUAUAGAGCCUAGAAAACCUUGCAGGGGCUCUAGAUGAUGUAUUCUACAAGGUGCAAGGAGGAGGUCAUCUGUCAGGAGGAAGGGGCGAGGGGCGGAGAAGAGUUUCCAGAACUUGGAAAGCCACGGAAGAAAUUUGACUGGAAGGUCCUGUAAAGAGGAGAAGUGCUGGUGAGACUUACUGGGCAGCACUGGUUAUGUAGCUUGAGGUAGCCUAAGCCCUGAGCCUCACAUACUGUUCUUGAGGUCCUAGGACUGUUCCCACCUGAGUCUGGUUGGUCAUUCCAUCUGAUCUAACGGAUGUGUGAUGACAUCUCUCCUGCUGACAAAUGCUGCUGCUCUCGUCCUUACUGCUCAGCCCAAGAAUGUCAAUCAGCCAGGGCUGUGUGGUCACAGGCCACAGAAACCAGCUCUGGCUAACUGGCAGAAAAACAAUUUAUUAGAAAGUUAUUGGAUACUUCAUAGAUUCACCAGCCACUUCCUAUCCUGAGUGUGUGCACACUUGCAUGUGCAUUUGCACAUUGGCAAAGCCUUGAUUCUGUCCUGACAUUUACCCGCCCUGUACCCAGGAAAGGAGACUGCUUCCUAAGCCACAGAGAAUGAAUGCUGAUGAAUCUCAGCCACUGGGGUGCUUCCUGCCACAUUAGUGAUCAGGCAUAGGCACAUGAUGCAGCCCUGGCCAAAGAGACAUAAGGGGAAGCCCAGAAGACCAAGGAUUUUGGAAAGAAUCACAGAGAAGCUGACUCAGAGCCUUGCUUUUAUUGAAGGUGGAACUAACCCUCUCUAUGAAGAAAAUAAAAUGAUAGACUUGCUCAUUUGUUUGAGCUGGAGGUUCUGACAUAAAUGCCAGCUAUCCUGUUCCUCCAUAGCUGUUGGGGUGAACAGAGGAAAGUAAGAUGAUGGAUACAGGGUAGGAACAAUAAAAGAGUUUACAAAAUAAAGGAGGGUGACUAUUUUUGCAGACAGAAGAAUUACCUAGUAGGAAAGAGUUGACUGAAAAUGCUAGAAGAAAGAGACUAGCUGGGGCAGAAGACCUCCACCUAGUUGGUGGACACUGCAUACCAGUCACCAUGAAAGGGCCUGGGAUGUAGGAUGAAUGGAAAGUCAAGUCUCUGCUCUUAGGAAACUUUCUGCCGGGGUGAGGCAGGGAGGCCAGGAACAUGUGCCAAGUGCUUGGUGCCUUUGUCUCCCCAUGCCCAUCCAGUUCCAGCCUGGUUCCCUUAACAGUUCAGACAAUCAGUUGACACUUCUCCUUGUCCUUUUUUCUGUCUUUUUGAGUCAGGAUUUCACUGUGCAGUUCAGGCUGCCCUUGAACUUACUUAUAGGCCAGGCUGGCCUCAAACUCGAGACAGUUCUCCUGCCUCAGACUCCCAAGUGCUGGGAUUACAGGGGUAAUCCUUUUUAAAAAUUUUUUUUGGUGGGUACCAGGGAUUGGUACCCAUCAUGCUUGCCAGGCAGGGGCUGCACCCCUGAGCUAUAUUCCUGAUACCCCAGUUGACAAUUUUGAAGUCUUUGCUUGUAUUUGUGUGGGUGACAGAGAAACAGUCAGUGGCUUCAAGGAACUAUUUAGUUAAGGUUUCAUGACACUGAAUCUGAAACAGGUUGUCAGCAAGACAAGGACACAGCAGAGUUACAGACCCCAUAAUGUGAGAGAUUAGGGCCUGAGCAAACUGACAGCCAACUGGAUGGAAUGUGUCAGGGGUCAUAAAAAUCCACACCUAAGAGGUUGACCAAGGUAUUUUCUAAAAAGAAAAUGUACACAACCUUGGACCCAAAAUAUCUGUAGGCUUAGAGCUACUGAGCUCUAUACACGGGACCAAUCAGAAAGCAGUAUUCUUGGGUUGGGUGGCGGGUUUAGCUCAGCAGCGCAAGUGCCUGCCAGGUAAGCACCAGAUUGUGAGUCUCAUUCCCACUACCAAAAAAAAAAAAAAAAAGAAAAGAAAGCAGAAAGCGGUAUUCUCAAUCCUUCAUUUGAAUUUGGUUGUUUUACAGGACCAAUUAGAAGAUGUUAUUCUCAGUUCUUUAUUUACAGUUAGGCAUGAGCAAUCAAAAGACACCAUUUCUGAUCCUUCAUUUACAUCUAGUGAGAGGCCAAGCAAGUUUUUGAUAGGACAAUUUAUAUCUUGUGUGAGAACGAAUGAGUUUUCCACAGGGCAAUUGUCCCCAGAGCCAUAUUUGCAUCGGGUGAAGGCCAGUCCAGGUAUUUUGGAUACUUUCCCUUUAGGCUUGGAGCCACAAUAAGCCCUUUUCACUGGCCUGCUGUUGCCCUGUAGAAUAUACUUCUUUUUAGCCUUGAAUAAAACUAUACCCUCUCUGCCUUC